rnacentral:rRNA from 1 species
GUGCCAGCAGCCGCGGUAAUACGUAGGGUCCAAGCGUUAAUCGGAAUUACUGGGCGUAAAGCGUGAGUAGGCGGUUUCGAAAGUCCGAUGUGAAAUCCCCGGGCUUAACCUGGGAACUGCGUUGGAAACUACGAGACUAGAGUGCGGCAGAGGGGGGUGGAAUUCCAGGUGUAGCAGUGAAAUGCGUAGAUAUCUGGAGGAACACCGAUGGCGAAGGCAGCCCCCUGGGUUAGCACUGACGCUCAUACACGAAAGCGUGGGGAGCAAACAGGAUUAGAUACCCUGGUAGUCC